rnacentral:rRNA from 1 species
AAUUAUAAAUUUAUUUUUGAUAUAUUUGUUAAUAAUUUAAUAAAAAUAAUUUUAAUUUAUUAUUUUCAGUAUUUUUAAGAGAAAAAAUUUUAAUAAAUUAUAGUUUAAUAGUAUUGUAAAAGAAUAUUUAAUUAAGGUUUAAUUAAUUGAAAGUAGAAUUGUGUUUUUGUACCUUGUGUAUCAGGGUUUAUUAAAAUUAAGUUAUAUAAUUAAUUUUCUCGAAUUUAAGAGAGUUAAAAAUUUUAUUUUUUAUAUUGUUUAAUUAAUAUAUAUAAUAAAUUUUUGGUAAUGAAAAGUUAUUCGGUCUUAAAUAUAUCUAGUUUAUUUAGAAAUAAAUUCAAUUUAAAUAUUAUUAUUUUAAUAAAUUAAUUUGAGUAAUUUAUUAAAUUUUAAUAUUAAUAGUUAAGGGGAUAAGCUUUUAAUUAAAAUUUUCUAAAAGUUAAAGUUUAAAAUAAAUAAAUUGUAAGUUUAGAAAUAGCUAUCAUAAAUAUUAUGUUAUAAUUAAUUUUUAUUUAUUAAUUAAAUUUUAUAUAAGUUUUAGAUUUUUUAUAAAUAUAUAAAUUUAAAUAAUUUAAGUUUAGAAAUAAUGAUAAAAUUAGUAUAAAUUUAAUUUAUAAAUAAAGUUAUUUGGUAGAUUAAUUAGAGGAAUUCGGCAAAUAUUUUUAUUCGCCUGUUUAACAAAAACAUGUCCUUUAGAAAAUAAUUUAAGGUUUAACCUGCCCAAUGAUUAGAAUUUAAUGGCCGCAGUAUAUUAACUGUGCAAAGGUAGCAUAAUCAUUAGUUUUUUAAUUAAAAGCUUGUAUGAAAGGUUGGACGAAAUAAAAUCUGUCUUUAUAUAAUAAAAUAUAGAAUUUAACUUUUAAGUAAAAAGGCUUAAAUAUUAUUAAAAGACGAGAAGACCCUAUAGAUCUUUAUAAAUAAUUUAUUAAAAUUUUUAAAGAUUAUUUAUUAUUUUAUUAAUUAAUUUAUUUUAUUGGGGUAAUAUAAAGAUUAAAGUAAUUCUUUAAGUUUAUUUACAUUAAUUUAUGAAUUUAUGAUCCAUUUAUAGUGAUUAUAAGAUUAAGUUACCUUAGGGAUAACAGCGUAAUUUUUUUUGAGAGUUCAUAUCUAUAAAAAAGUUUGCGACCUCGAUGUUGGAUUAAAAAUUAUCUUAGGUGUAGAAGCUUAAGAAUUUGGUCUGUUCGACCAUUAAAUUUUUACAUGAUCUGAGUUCAGACCGGUGUAAGCCAGGUCGGUUUCUAUCUUUAAUAAGGAGUAAUAUUUUAGUACGAAAGGACCAAAUAUUUAAUAUAUUGAUAUUUAAAUUUUUGAAUAUUAUU